rnacentral:rRNA from 1 species
CCUACGGGUGGCAGCAGUGAGGAAUAUUGGUCAAUGGACGAGAGUCUGAACCAGCCAAGUAGCGUGAAGGAUGACUGCCCUAUGGGUUGUAAACUUCUUUUAUAUGGGAAUAAAACGUUCCACGUGUGGGAUUUUGUAUGUACCAUAUGAAUAAGGAUCGGCUAACUCCGUGCCAGCAGCCGCGGUAAUACGGAGGAUCCAAGCGUUAUCCGGAUUUAUUGGGUUUAAAGGGAGCGUAGGUGGAUUGUUAAGUCAGUUGUGAAAGUUUGCGGCUCAACCGUAAAAUUGCAGUUGAAACUGGCAGUCUUGAGUACAGUAGAGGUGGGCGGAAUGCGUGGUGUAGCGGUGAAAUGCUUAGAUAUCACGAAGAACUCCGAUUGCGAAGGCAGUUCACUGGACUGCAACUGACACUGAGGCUCGAAAGUGUGGGUAUCAAACAGGAUUAGAUACCCUUGUAGUC